UACGUAGGUGGCAAGCGUUAUCCGGAAUUAUUGGGCGUAAGGGGAGCGUAGGCGGUCUUGCAAGUCUAUGGUUAAAAUUCGGGGCUUAACCCCGUCUUGCCAUAGAAACUGUAAGACUUGAGUACAGGAGAGGUUAGUGGAAUUCCAUGUGUAGCGGUAAAAUGCGUAGAUAUAUGGAGGAACACCAGUGGCGAAAGCGGCUAACUGGUCUGUAACUAAUGCUAAGGCGCGAAAGCGUGGGGAGCAAAUAGG
rnacentral:rRNA from 1 species